rnacentral:rRNA from 1 species
AUGCGCAGCUUACCAUGCAGUCGAGGGGUAGAAGUCUUCGGACUUUGAGACCGGCGCACGGGUGCGUAACGCGUAUGCAAUCUACCUUUUACAGAGGGAUAGCCCAGAGAAAUUUGGAUUAAUACCUCAUGGUAUUACGACCUGGCAUCAGGAUGUAAUUAAAGUCACAACGGUAAAAGAUGAGCAUGCGUCCCAUUAGCUAGUUGGUAAGGUAACGGCUUACCAAGGCUACGAUGGGUAGGGGUCCUGAGAGGGAGAUCCCCCACACUGGUACUGAGACACGGACCAGACUCCUACGGGAGGCAGCAGUGAGGAAUAUUGGACAAUGGGCGCAAGCCUGAUCCAGCCAUGCCGCGUGCAGGAUGACGGUCCUAUGGAUUGUAAACUGCUUUUAUACAGGAAGAAACACCUCUACGUGUAGAGACUUGACGGUACUGUAAGAAUAAGGAUCGGCUAACUCCGUGCCAGCAGCCGCGGUAAUACGGAGGAUCCAAGCGUUAUCCGGAAUCAUUGGGUUUAAAGGGUCCGUAGGCGGUUUAGUAAGUCAGUGGUGAAAGCCCAUCGCUCAACGGUGGAACGGCCAUUGAUACUGCUAGACUUGAAUUAUUAGGAAGUAACUAGAAUAUGUAGUGUAGCGGUGAAAUGCUUAGAGAUUACAUGGAAUACCAAUUGCGAAGGCAGGUUACUACUAAUGGAUUGACGCUGAUGGACGAAAGCGUGGGUAGCGAACAGGAUUAGAUACCCUGGUAGUCCACGCCGUAAACGAUGGAUACUAGCUGUUGGGAGCAAUCUCAGUGGCUAAGCGAAAGUGAUAAGUAUCCCACCUGGGGAGUACGUUCGCAAGAAUGAACUCAG